CAGCUCAUUCUGAGCCCAGGAGCCUGGGAAGCUUUCCGACGGAGCAGCAGGGCCAUCAAGUCAGCAUAGACGGGGCACCAUGUGACUGACCUUUCUGCUCACAACGCUCCCUGCUGUCGGGCUAAACGUAAUUGAGGAAAGGCAGGGGUGGGGUUAGCAGGCAGGACACGGAGAAUUGCCCAUUACCCACAAGAGUAAGCAGCCCUCCUUGAUGGCCUCAGCCUCAGGUUUGCAGUACAAACAUGUCGAUUGUCUCUGGUCUAGAAUGUGGACUCCAGAAGGCAGAAAAAAUGUAGAGACACUUCUCUGAGAUGGGAUCUGCCCCCAGCAACCAGCAACAUUUAUUCAAGCUGCACCUGGGGCCUCAUGCUGAUGGGGUCAGGUGGUCCAAAUGUGAGAGAGAGAAAGUCUGAGUCAGAGGAAGACAAAGACAGAGAGACAGAAACAGAAAUGCAGAGACAGAGUCACAGAGAGAGGCUGCCUGGGUUCACUUGGCUCUGGGCCUUGAGAAAUCCUUGUGUGCUGUAACCCACCCCUUUAUUUUUCCAAUAAACUCCCCU
rnacentral:lncRNA from 1 species